rnacentral:RNase_P_RNA from 1 species
CAGGGUGGUCGGAUGAUCGCGGGUGUCCUUCGGGGCGCUCGAGGAAAGUCCGCACUCCACAGGGCAUGGCGCCGGGGAAACCCCGGGGCGGGGAAACCUGCCGGAUCGGGCCACAGAAAUACACCACCGCGCAAGCGGCCAGGGUGAAAUGGUGAGGUAAGAGCUCACCGGCGCGGCAGCAAUGUCCGCGGCCAGGCAACCCCCGCCCGGAGCAAGGCCAAACAGAGGUGAGCAGCGGCCCGCUGCGCUCGAGCCUCGGGUAGGCUGCACAGAUAGAUGAUCAUCCAGGUCCGCUUUGCGGGCCGGACAAAAUGCGGCUUAUAGACCAGCCUGAAAG